rnacentral:rRNA from 1 species
AUUGAACGCUGGCGGCAGGCUUAACACAUGCAAGUCGAGCGGAGCGAGGGUGCUUGCACCUUAGCUUAGCGGCGGACGGGUGAGUAAUGCUUAGGAAUCUGCCUAUUAGUGGGGGACAACAUUCCGAAAGGAAUGCUAAUACCGCAUACGCCCUACGGGGGAAAGCAGGGGAUCUUCGGACCUUGCGCUAAUAGAUGAGCCUAAGUCGGGUUAGCUAGUUGGUGGGGUAAAGGCCUACCAAGGCGACGAUCUGUAGCGGGUCUGGGAGGAUGUUCCGCCCCACUGGGACCGAGACACGGGCCAGACCCCUACGGGAGGCAGCAGUGGGGAGUGUUGGAAUAUGGACGGAUGCCUGAUCCAGGCGUGCCGGUGGUGUGAAGGCGGCCUGUUGGUUGUAAAGCACUUUACGCGGGGCGGAGGCUACUUAGACUGAUGCUCUAGGAUAGCGGGCCUUACUCGCAGAAUAAGCACCGGCUAACUCUGUGCCUGCCGCCCCGGUAAAAC